rnacentral:rRNA from 1 species
AGUAGUUGACUCCGUGGCUCAGGACGAACGCUGGCGGCACGCUUAACACAUGCAAGUCGAACGAGAAUUUGAGAGCUUGCUUUUAAAUUCUAGUGGCGGACGGGUGAGUAACACGUGAGCAAUCUGCCUUUCAGAGGGGGAUACCAGUUGGAAACGGCUGUUAAUACCGCAUAAAAUAUGAAUGUCGCAUGACAAACAUAUCAAAGAUUUAUCGCUGAAAGAUGAGCUCGCGUCUGAUUAGAUAGUUGGUGAGGUAACGGCCCACCAAGUCGACGAUCAGUAGCCGGACUGAGAGGUUGGACGGCCACAUUGGGACUGAGACACGGCCCAGACUCCUACGGGAGGCAGCAGUGGGGAAUAUUGCACAAUGGAGGAAACUCCGAUGCAGCGAUGCCGCGUGAGGGAAGAAGGUUUUAGGAUUGUAAACCUCUGUCUUUGGGGACGAUAAUGACGGUACCCAAGGAGGAAGCUCCGGCUAACUACGUG